GACGAAGGAUGCAAGCGUUAUCCGGAUUCAUUGGGUUUAAAGGGUGCGUAGGCGGCCCUGUAAGUCAGUGGUGAAAGCCCUCCGCUUAACCGGGAGGAACUGCCAUUGAUACUGCAGGGCUUGAGUACAGAUGAUGUUGGCGGAAUAUGACAUGUAGCGGUGAAAUGCAUAGAUAUGUACAUAGAACACCGAUUGCGAAGGCAGCUGACAAAAACUGUAACUGACGCUGAGGCACGAAAGUGUGGGGAUCAAACAGG
rnacentral:rRNA from 1 species